GAUGAACGCUGGCGGCGUGCCUAAUACAUGCAAGUCGAGCGAACGGACGAGAAGCUUGCUUCUCUGAUGUUAGCGGCGGACGGGUGAGUAACACGUGGAUAACCUACCUAUAAGACUGGGAUAACUUCGGGAAACCGUAGCUAAUACCGGAUAAUAUUUUGAACCGCAGGGUUCAAAAGUGAAAGACGGUCUUGCUGUCACUUAUAGAUGGAUCCGCGCUGCAUUAGCUAGUUGGUAAGGUAACGGCUUACCAAGGCAACGAUGCAUAGCCGACCUGAGAGGGUGAUCGGCCACACUGGAACUGAGACACGGUCCAGACUCCUACGGGAGGCAGCAGUAGGGAAUCUUCCGCAAUGGGCGAAAGCCUGACGGAGCAACGCCGCGUGAGUGAUGAAGGUCUUCGGAUCGUAAAACUCUGUUAUUAGGGAAGAACAUAUGUGUAAGUAACUGUGCACAUCUUGACGGUACCUAAUCAGAAAGCCACGGCUAACUACGUG
rnacentral:rRNA from 1 species